rnacentral:rRNA from 1 species
UACGUAGGGGGCAAGCGUUGUCCGGAUUUAUUGGGCGUAAAGAGCGUGUAGGCGGCUUUACAGGUCCGUUGUGAAAACUCGAGGCUCAACCUCGAGACGCCGGUGGAAACCGUAAAGCUAGAGUCCGGAAGAGGAGAGUGGAAUUCCUGGUGUAGCGGUGAAAUGCGCAGAUAUCAGGAGGAACACCCGUGGCGAAAGCGGCUCUCUGGGACGGUACUGACGCUGAGGAGCGAAAGCGUGGGGAGCAAACAGG